GAUGAGAGGGUAAUAUGGUAUGAUAUCCAUCACCACAUUGAUUGCCAGGGUUGAUUUGACUGAUCUGGCUGGCUAAGCAGGUGUUCCCUUCCAUUCCCCAACUC
rnacentral:sRNA from 1 species